UACGGAGGGGGCUAGCGUUGUUCGGAAUUACUGGGCGUAAAGCGCACGUAGGCGGCUUUGUAAGUUAGAGGUGAAAGCCCGGGGCUCAACUCCGGAAUUGCCUUUAAGACUGCAUCGCUAGAAUUGUGGAGAGGUGAGUGGAACUGCGAGUGUAGAGGUGAAAUUCGUAGAUAUUCGCAAGAACACCAGUGGCGAAGGCGGCUCACUGGCCCGUAACUGACGCUGAGGCACGAAAGCGUGGGGAGCAAACAGG
rnacentral:rRNA from 1 species